rnacentral:lncRNA from 1 species
CAGCGGGUAAAGUUGAAAAUGCCAGGCAUUGUUAAAAAUAAUUGUUCACCCUUUCCUUACAUUGCUUUGACUGCCAGUAAUCCGGCCAUAUUUAUUAAGCCACUGCUAUAAGCUUUGCUCACUUGAAUGCUUCAGAUUAAGCAAGGAAAUACUCCAUCAUAAGUAGGCAGUCUGUGUUUAGAGUCUACCAUGAGACAGAUUAAGAAACUUCCAAAAAGACAGUGAUACGUUG